UACAGAGGUCCCAAGCGUUGUUCGGAUUUACUGGGCGUAAAGGGUGCGUAGGUGGCGAGGUAAGUUCGAUGUGAAAUCUCCGAGCUCAACUCGGAAAUGGCAUUGAAUACUAUCCCGCUUGAGGUCGGAGGGGAGACUGGAAUUCUCGGUGUAGCAGUGAAUGCGUAGAUAUCGAGAGGAACACCAGUGGCGAAGGCGAGUCUCUGGACGACUCCUGACACUGAGGCGCGAAAGCCAGGGGAGCAAACGGG
rnacentral:rRNA from 1 species